rnacentral:rRNA from 1 species
AAAUGUUGACCUCGGAUCAGGUAGGAAUACCCGCUGAACUUAAGCAUAUCAAUAAGCG